CCUCCAGAUUGCUCGAGGCCACCUGGUUGACUUUUGCCUUGGAGUCGGUCCAGAAAAGCAUUAUUUACCCUUUAAAACAAUGAAAAAUGUGUGUGAGUAGAAAACUUGCUGCAGGGCUGAGAGAUUUCUGAGAAUCUAAUGUGUUGUAUGAACUGACCAUGGGGAUAGCUUCCUGGCUUCAGCUUAGAAGAAAUCCACAGAAACUUCUCUUCACACUAACCAUAUGACAUGCUGUUAACCCCUCUUUACUGGAGCUGGUGCCAAUCUUGGCUCAAGCCAAAGGGGAUACGAAUUCUUAACCUGAGAGUUUCAGGCACUCAUCUCCUGCCAGUUCAGCAAGACCCUAGUUCAAGAAAGAAACUACAGCCCUCAGAAUCAUGCCAGGUAUGAACCUCAGAGGCUGGAGAGAGAAAGAAGCCUCAGCAUGAACCAAAACAUGAAGAAGAACCAAAGAUAGCUCUAUGGCAUUAUUGUUGCAAGAUAGAUGUCCUUCCUAUAUUCCCUGCACUCCACUGCCAGUCUUGCUAAAGUAAACCCCAUACAUGAAAAGCAGAAAUGGAAGAUUAUAAUUUCCACAUGGUGAGGCACCCCUUCUGCCGUGUUUUGCCCUAUUCCCGGAGCCUAGGACACAGCCUUUAUGGAGUGUAGCCUGAUAAUGUAGUUACUGAAUGAAACAAAUCUUCCUGGCACACGUUCUUCACCCCUGAAAACAACAUGGAUGAUGAGUGCAGACUGCAAAACAGCUCACUGGCAAUUGCUCUCAAUUCACUCAAACCCUGCGAAGACUGAUGCCUUGUCAUGAAGACAUAAGAUGAGAAGUUCACCAGUGCUCUAUCAUCUUCUUGGUGACCUACUGGCACCAACUACAGCAGAUCCACUGUGCAUCCAUGAGGCUAGGUACCAUGAAAGUUUUGACCAGAAGGAGCCACCACCAUACUCUUAAAACACAUCCAGAAACUCACCUUUUAUUUUCAAUGCUUGUAUUCUUGUUUUCAGGAUUUUCAUGUGUCUAAAUAUUUCUGUUCAGAAAUUCUUCAAAAUUAUCUAGUACCUCAAAUAAACAGUUAGCAAUAACUAGU
rnacentral:lncRNA from 1 species